rnacentral:rRNA from 1 species
UACGAAGGGGGCUAGCGUUGCUCGGAAUUACUGGGCGUAAAGCGCACGUAGGCGGCUUCUUAAGUCGGUGGUGAAAUCCUGGAGCUCAACUCCAGAACUGCCUUCGAUACUGAGAAGCUCGAGUCCGGGAGAGGUGAGUGGAACUGCGAGUGUAGAGGUGAAAUUCGUAGAUAUUCGCAAGAACACCAGUGGCGAAGGCGGCUCACUGGCCCGGAACUGACGCUGAGGCGCGAAAGCGUGGGGAGCAAACAGG